GGAGUUGUAGCUCAGUGGUAGAGCACUUACCUAGCACGUGUGAGGCACUGAGUUCGAUCCUCAGCACCA
rnacentral:tRNA from 1 species